AGGGGACUUAGGAAGAUGAGAGGUGCGGGCUUGACGCCCAUGAGAAGCCCCAAAGCUGAGCCUCAGUUUCUGCCACGUGUCCAGAGCGUAGAAAAUGAUCCACAGUGGUGUAGGGAAGCCGAAUGCCUAGUGGGGAUAGGCUGAAAAAUUGUGGGGAAAAUCCCAGUCUGAGCUUCUAUGGACAGAAAAGGGCAGAAAGAGGGAGGGAGUUGGAGAGGACGGUGAACAAUAAUGACCCCGUUUCCUGAGUGCUCAUCCUGUGCCACGCAUGGAGCCGCGGCUUGACAAGCAUCUUUACUGCAACCCUAUUCCGCCAGUGAGCCUGAGACCCAGGGAGCUUAGAAACCCGGCCAGAAUCUGGCAGAGGGGGGGCCCUAACCCGCCGUCUGAGCCCACGGUGGCACCCUUAAUCACCAAGCUCCACAGUGUGGAGGACGAGAGAGUGGAACUACCGGAGAAGACACGGGGAUGCGGCUCGGAGAGAGAGGAUGGACUGAAGCGAUUUGAAAGGCAGGCGUUGUGGAAAGCAUACACGGAUAUUUUUUUCUUUCAUUUAAUCCUCAAACAAGCCUAUGAGAAUGACUACCUUUCAGGUAGCAAAAACGGCUUCAACAACUCCACUCCUCACAUCCACAAACCACACUGCCUCUGAAGAAGGGAGAGCAUACCUUGUCCCAAGUUUCUGAAUAAAAGCCCCAAACUUCCCCUGGCUGGCACUGAUUUUGUCUAUUUGCUCAACACUGAACCGUUCACUGUGGCCAAAGCCCGGGCCCAUUGAUCAGCUUGGGCUGGAUCACACGCUCCCUCUGAAGGCAGCAGGACUGUAGAGCCGCGGGGCCCACAAAUGGACACCAGGGCUUCCUGGAAAGUGACAGACAUGCUGAUGAGGCCAAAAAUUGUCUCCUGCACUUCAUCUCAGAUUGUCCAGGGCAGCUCCAAUUGCAUAUUUCUGUUGUUGUUUUUCUAGAACUAUUACCAAAUGCAUGAGGAUGAGUUUUUAGCUACAACACCAAAGGGACACUUCAUGAAAGAAAUAAUUGGUAAGCUGAACUUCCUUACACUUAAAACUUCUGCUCUGUGAAAGACACUGGGAAGAGAGUGAGAAGAGAAGCCAUAGACUGGGAGAAAAUAUUUGCAAAGGCCACAUCUGAAAAGGAUUGUUAUCCAACAUUUACAAAGAACUCUUAAAACACAACAAUAAGAAAACAAACAACUCAAUUAAAAAAAUGGACUGAAAACCUUAACAGACACUCCACCAAAGAAGAUAUACAGAUGGCAAAUAAGCAUCUGCAAAGAUGCUCCACACUAUAUGUCACCAGGGAAAUGCAAAUUAAAACAAUAAUGAGAUACCACUACACACCUAUUAGAAUGGCCAACCUCCAGAGCACUAACACCACCAAGUGCUGGUGAGGAUGCAGAGCAGCAGGAACUCACGUUCACUGCUGGUGGGAAUGCAAAAUGGGCUGGCAACUUUGGAAGAUAAUUUGGCAGUUCUUAGAAAACUAAAUGUACUCUUAUCAUACAAUCCAGCAAUUAUGCUUCCUGGUAUUUACUCAAAGGAGUUGAAAACUUAUGUCCACGCAAAAAACUGCACAAGGUGUUUAUAGCAGCGUUUCUCGUAAUUGCCAAAACUUAGAAGUGACCAAGGCAUUCUUCAGUAGAUGAAUGGAUAAACUGUGUUGCAUCCAGACAAUGGAAUAUUAUUUAGCCCUAAAAAGAAACGAGCUAACAAGCCACAAAAAGACAUGGAGGAACUCUGAACGCAUGUUACUAAAUGAAGAAGCCAAUCUGAAAAGGCUUCAGACUCUAUGAUCCCAACUAUAUGACAUUCUAAAAAGGGCAAAACUAUGGGAAAACGUAAAAAGAUCAGUGGUUGUUAGGCAUGAGAGGGGAGGGAGGCAUGAAUAGGUAGAACACAGAGGAUUUUUAGAGCCGGAAAAUACUCUGUGUGAUGUUAGAAUGAUGGAUAUAUGUCAUUAUACAUUUGUCCAAACCCAUAGAAUGUAUAACGCCAAGAGUGAACCCUAAGGUGAGCUAUGGACUUGGGGUGAUUAUGCGUCGAUGUAGGUUCAUCAAUUGUGACAGAUUACCACUCUAGUGGGAGAUGUUGAUGAUGAGGGCGACCAUGCAUAUGCUGGGACGAGGGGUCUGUGGGAAACUCUAUCUUCUCCUCAAAUUUGU
rnacentral:lncRNA from 1 species